rnacentral:rRNA from 1 species
CCUACGGGAGGCAGCAGUGAGGAAUAUUGGUCAAUGGACGAGAGUCUGAACCAGCCAAGUAGCGUGAAGGAUGACUGCCCUAUGGGUUGUAAACUUCUUUUAUAUGGGAAUAAAAUGUUCCACGUGUGGGAUUUUGUAUGUACCAUAUGAAUAAGGAUCGGCUAACUCAGUGCCAGCAGCCGCGGUAAUACGGAGGAUCCGAGCGUUAUCCGGAUUUAUUGGGUUUAAAGGGAGCGUAGGUGGAUUGUUAAGUCAGUUGUGAAAGUGUGCGGCUCAACCGGAAAAUUGCAGUUGAAACUGGCAGUCUUGAGUACAGUAGAGGUAGGCGGAAUUCGUGGUGUAGCGGUGAAAUGCGUAGAUAUGACGAAGAACUCCGAUUGCGAAGGCAGUUCACUGGACUGCAACUGACACUGAUGCUCGAAAGUGUGGGUAUCAAACAGGAUUAGAUACCCGAGUAGUC